GGAAGGUGGCGGGGGGCGAUCAUUCGGGGCCUGCGUUAUCUGUGGGUGUCUUUGUAGGCAGGAGUCUAUCUUGAAGGGUAGGAUCAUCAGGUGGUGGAACGAAGCGAACUUGCCUCUGGCUGUGCUCCGGCUCCCUCGCAGGGAGAAGGGACAAGGGCAGGACAGUCCGCCGGUGGCGGGGCGCGCCGGUGUCAGGCUGAACCAAGUUAUCAAACCACACGGGCCCAUCGGCAGCCUCCGCUUUUCCCUUUGGGGCGGAGAGCCCACUCACUCCCCGUUUCCGGUGCACGCGGGAGGUGUGGCCUCGGCAGGAGCAGGGCCGGGGGCUUCAGCAGCGCGGGCCGGAGGGUGGGGUGGGCUUCUCACCGCCGUGACCUCUCGCCCCUCAGGAUGGUGAGUGCGCGCAGCGUGGCGGCGCAGAAGGUGUUCUCCGCCAGGCACCCACGUUCGGCCUCCCAGCUUGCCUGGCACUUGGGAGAAGCACACUGAAGAGGAGGGCACAAUUGACCCAGUGUGUCCCUUGGUCCCUGUGUGAUGGCUCAGUAGGAACCCAGGAACUGAGCUGUGUGUCACUGGCAUCCCACUGCACUCAGUAGCUACCGAUGUUUUAGAAAAGCAUAAUACACCCAUAAUGCUGUGUCUGUGAUGGUAGAAGAGAAUAAAGGGCUGGAGCAGUAUCGAGAACGGCAUCCCCUCCACAGGAUCUCACCUGUGGGGAUGGACAGGUGUGGAGGUAACCGCACCAUGGUGAAGAGUCCACAGCAGAAAAAGAGU